rnacentral:lncRNA from 1 species
AGAGACUGCCUAGGAGAGGGAGGGUUGCUCCGAGGCCAUCUGUAGACCUUGUAAGAAAUUCCAGGACCUGGAAGAGAUGGGAUUUUGCCAUGUGGCCCAGGUGAUCCUCCAGUCUCAACCUCCUUCCCAAAGUGGUGAGAUUACACGCAUUAGCCACGGUGCCUGAACAGGUUAAACUGGUCCAACCAUAUUCCAUGGGUGAGGCAUUUAAUACCAUUUUAAAAUGAAUUAAUGGAAUGAUUGAUGGAUAUAAGAUGCGUGAGGCUGGAUUCUGAGAGAGCAGCAAUUUCAGGUUCUCGUUCUUGGAGGAAACGGCCCACCACCAAUCUCUUGGCCAAACACAGCACGUGAAUAGCCCUGCUGC